CGCAUCUGUGCAUGCAGCAUAUCAAUAAGCGGAGGAAAAGAAACUAACAAGGAUUCCCUUAGUAACGGCGAGUGAAGCGGGAAGAGCUCAAAUUUGAAAUCUUCAAGGUUUUACCUUGACGGAUUGUAGUUUAAAGAAGUGUUUUCUGUUGAAGUUUUGGUAAAAGUUCUUUGGAAUAGGACAUCAUAGAGGGUGAGAAUCCCGUAUUUGACCAUUAUUUUCAGCUGUGUGAUACACUUUCAAAGAGUCAGAUUGUUUGGGAAUGCAGUCCAAAAUGGGUGGUAAAUUUCAUCUAAAGCUAAAUAUUGGCGAGAGACCGAUAGCGAACAAGUACCGUGAGGGAAGGAUGAAAAGAACUUUGAAAAGAGAGUUAAACAGUACGUGAAAUUGUCAAAAGGGAAGCGUUUGACACCAGUGUUGUUUUCUCGAAAAUCAAUUAAAAAGAGUUUAGAUUUUGUUGUGUAUUGACCUUAACAGCUUGCAUUUCAAUUUUCUUGCUUUUUUUAAUGCACUUUUCGUUUAACAAGUCAACAUCAGUUUCUUUUGUUGUAAAAAGGUCAUUGGAAGGUGGCUUUCUUUUCGGAGAAAGUGUUUAUAGCCUUUGACUCCUGCAAUCAGAGAGACUGAGGUCUGCAGCGUAGAUCCUUCGGGGUUAGAUACAUUUGUGCUAAGUUAUAGCUUUUUAUAGACAACUUGUUGACUAUGAUUAGUCUUGUAGCUUACUCGCUUAUGCUAUUUUACCUACGCUUAGGAUGUUGAUACACGCGCGUGCUCG
rnacentral:rRNA from 1 species